rnacentral:rRNA from 1 species
UACGAGGGGUGCAAGCGUUAUUCGGAAUGACUGGGCGUAAAGGGUGUGUAGACGGUAUGUUAAGUCUAUUGUUAAAUUCCUCGGCCUAACCGAGGGUAAGCGAUAGAAACUGGCGCACUAGAGGGUGGAAGAGAGAAGUGGAAUUCUCGGAGUAGCGGUAAAAUGCGUAGAUCUCGAGAGGAACACCAAUGGCGAAGGCAGCUUCUUGGUCCAUACCUGACGUUGAGACACGAAAGCGUGGGGAGCAAACAGG